GCGAUUAGCGCGUUGCACCGCGGCGGCUCAGCUUGCAGACGGUGCCCCCUGGCUGGCUUCGCCCACCAGCCGCGUCCCUGGCUCGCGCCUGCUUUGCUCCGGCAAGCCUGGAUGAUGGUUUUCCGCCCAGCAGCAGCUUGAAGGUGGGAGGAGACUCUGCCCGCCAGCCAGGGCCGCGCCAAGAGCUCCCGGAAAUGGAGGGCGUGGGUCUGGCGGGGCAGAGCUGCCGCUGUGCCGAGGCCUGAGAGGAAGAAGCCCGCCCAGGGAGAGACACGCGCGGACGGAGCGGCUGCCGAGGCGGGCAGCGGCCGGGUGCCCUCCUCAAGGAGCAGUAGCCAAGGCAAGGGCUUUGUCGCGAAUCUUCGGCGGAUCGUAGCCAGCAUCGUCCCCUGACUUCUUGGCAUCCAGUCUUGGAAGGACCUCGCUAAGGAGCAAGCAGGGAAGGGCUGCCCGCAAAGGGAGAACAGCGAUCUCCUGGGAGUCUUCGCCUCCGCCCUCUCUAAAGACGACCGAAGUCUUCCAAAGCUGCCUCUACAGACAGAAAUGACAGAAGUGGUUUCCAGCACCGACGUCCUGCAUGGUGUUCCUGUGCUUCUGGGAAGGAAGAGGAUUAUUAGCCCCCAUUAACUGAGCCAUCUCCUAUUAGAGGAAAGGAUCAUGUAUCUGGGCUGUUUUUCUCCCCCACACAACCUGAAUGAGACAUGAAACACAAAUUAAAGAAGAAAGCUAAAGCAUAGGUUGCAAUAAGGGCCACGCCUAUACUGAUUGGCUUAAAGCAGGCCUGCACAACAUAAGGCGGGGGGGGCGGCGAUUUGGCCCACAAGGACUAUUUUACUGGCCCCCAGGUAUCCUGCAGCAACACAGCAGCUGGAAACUGCCUUAUAGCGCCAUCCUGUGCAUGCUUUCUUAGAAAUAUACUCCAUGGUGUGGCCAGUGAGGCUUACUCCCAUGUAAGCUUGCCUAGCAUUGCAGCCUGAAAGCAACAGCAAUUUAGGAAGAGGAGAGGACUUGGUUUGUUUGGGGCUAGCAUGCACUCUAGGGGCCACACGGAUUGAGCAGAGACAGGACCUAUUCUCUGGCCACGAUCCUUGGUUGAAACUCUGGGUCCAUUGACAGGGGGAAUAGAUCCACAAAUGACUAAUAAUAUUUAAUUUUAAUAAUGGGCUAAAAAAUUGACCGUGGCCCCUGCAUGCCAAGUUGUGGAUGGUUCCGGCCCGCCAGGGCAUUUGAGUUGUGCAGCCUGGCUUAAAGUGUCUGCUGCAGAAACAUAGCUCAACUCUUCAGUGAAAGUGAGGAUCUGACAUCACCUGCCAUCCGCCUUAUUCAGGUGAUUCCAUCUUGGCACCAAGCUUCAGACCAGUCUUGAAAUUAAUCCAUGCUCCUCAUUGGCGGCCAGAGUAAAAAUAUUCCAAGGAUGCUGCUGGUGGGGAAUGCUAUUGGUCCCAGUGUUCCCUGUAACAGGGAUUCCCAGAUGUGGACUACAACUCCCAUAAUCCCCAGCCAAAGGCCACUUCAGCUGAGGAUGCCAGGAGUUGUAGUCAACAUCAUCUGGGAAUUCCUGUUACAGGGAACACUGAUUGGUCCUCAAGCCAGAAAUGGACAGCGCUCCCAGCAACAUUUUGACAAUCAUCUGGUGGCGACAGUGAGUGAAAUAAAACUUUUCCCCACUCCCCCUCCCCACCUGCUCGGUCGUGUGAAUGACCUCAACCAGUUAGGGAAAGGAGUCCCAAAUUCCUACUGAGCCAUCAAGGCAACCAGCUAAUCCUACACACCCAGAAUUUGGGUCCGUGGGUGGGUGAGCUGUUGGGUUCACACUAAGGUUGUGGGGAAGGCAUGAGCCUGACAAAUAUGCAUUCACUCAGAGCUCCCCCCAUUGCAUUGUGUGCAUUAUAUGGCCACCCCCAAUUUAUGGCGUGGCCAUGCAAAUAAAAUUAUUUGUAUUAUUAGCCCCACUCUGCAGGACUAUGUUGCAUUCUCUCAAAGGGGAUGGAGGUACGGUUAUCCUCCCCACAAUACAGUGCGGGGCGGAGUACUGUUAGAGCUGGUUUGCUUGUUCCUUCACUUUCUAAUUUAUCAAGGCUCAUUUAAAACUAGCAUUUAACAAGGAUUCGCUUUAGUUUUCCUAGAACUAAAGACGUAACACAAAAUCAAGAUUAGUGAAGGGUCUCUAGUUAACUGAGUUUUUUACUUUAUUCUUGAACAUAUAUAAAACCUGUUGGUGUUGCGUUGUAACAUAAUCGCCCAUUCUAUCAAGCCGUCCUUCAGUGGUUGGAGUCUCCAUUUGACUGUAGAAUUUAUCUUUAACGUUUAUGCCUCACCUUGCUUUCAAAUGAAACCCAUGGCCGUUUGCAUCAAGAUGAAGAACCUGUUGAACAUAAUUUUUUAAAAAUACAAACCAAUAAAAAGUACCACAUAAAAAAGGAAGACAAGAGCAGA